rnacentral:lncRNA from 1 species
AGUGCCAUCGCCCAUUUACAACACAGUCAAUCAAUGUCAUUUUGUAUGUCACUGGGAAACCACCGAACGCAGGGAACUCACUCGCAUGCGGGAAACUGCAUAACUAGCCACUGGAUUAGCGUGCCUCUUGGGAAGCUGCUUUGCAUCAAAGGCCAGACUGAACAUCCCACGUCUUGGUUUGACUUCCUGGUACAAGAUACUUGCACUUAGCAUGGAGUGAUGAAGCAGAGCAGUGUACUUUUAUUAAAUGUGCAGAUUUUAGCAGUAUAACAGCCGUUCAUUAAAAAAACAUGUGUGCUGAAAAUAAAGUGUUCUUACCCACA